rnacentral:rRNA from 1 species
AGCAGCCGCGGUAAUUCCAGCUCCAAUAGCGUAUAUUAAAGUUGUUGCAGUUAAAAAGCUCGUAGUUGAAUUUCGGAAUCUGUCCGUUGGUCGGGCUUCAUUGUCCGUACUGGUGUGGUGGGUUCUUACCUUCUGAAUAACCAGCAUGCCAUUUACUUGGUGCGCUGGGGAAGCAGGACUAUUACCUUGAAAAAAUUAGAGUGCUCAAAGCAGGCCAGCGCCUGAAUACAUUAGCAUGGAAUAAUAAAAUACGCCGGCAUGGUUCUAUUUUGUUGGUUUCUAGGAUCACCGUAAUGAUUAAUAGGGAUAGUUGGG